rnacentral:rRNA from 1 species
AGGAUACUGCUUUCACGUUGGAAAAACGGAAAGCUGGAAACGGUCCGCCGCCGGAGGACGUGACUGCGGCCGAUUAGGUAGACGGUGGGGUAACGGCCCACCGUGCCAAUAAUCGGUACGGGUUGUGAGAGCAAGAGCCCGGAGACGGAAUCUGAGACAAGAUUCCGGGCCCUACGGGGCGCAGCAGCCGCGAAACCUUUACACUGCACGACAGUGCGAUAAGGGGAUCCCGAGUGCGAGGGCAUACAGUCCUCGCUUUUCGUGACCGUAAGGUGGUCACAGAAUAAGGGCUGGGCAAGACCGGUGCCAGCCGCCGCGGUAAUACCGGCAGCCCGAGUGAUAGCCAAUUUUAUUGGGCCUAAAGCGUCCGUAGCCGGCCGAACGGGUCCGUCGGGAAAUCCACCCGCUUAACGGGUGGGCGUCCGGCGGAAACCAGUCGGCUUGGGGCCGGGAGACCAGAGGGGUACGUCCGGGGUAGGAGUGAAAUCCUGUAAUCCUGGACGGACCACCGGUUGCGAAAGCGCCUCUGGAGAACGGACCCGACGGUGAGGGACGAAAGCUAGGGUCUCGAACCGGAUUAGAUACCCGGGUAGUCCUAGCCGUAAACGAUGCUCGCUAGGUGUGACGCA